UACAGAGGUCUCAAGCGUUGUUCGGAUUCAUUGGGCGUAAAGCGCAUGUAGGCGGUUGGGCAAGUGGCGUGUGAAAGCUCCCGGCUAAACUGGGAGAGGACACGUCAGACUGUCCGGCUAGAGGCAGAUAGAGGGGCGCAGAAUUCGGGGUGUAGCGGUGAAAUGUGUAGAGAUCCCGAGGAAUACCAGUGGUGAAGACGGCGCCCUGGGUCUGUACUGACGCUGAGAUGCGAAAGCGUGGGGAGCGAACGGG
rnacentral:rRNA from 1 species